rnacentral:rRNA from 1 species
CCCUUAGAUGUUCUGGGCCGCACGCGCGCUACACUGACGAAGUCAGCGAGCAUCUCCUGCGCCGAAAGGUGCGGGGAAUCUUGUGAAACUUCGUCGUGCUGGGGAUUGAUUUUUGAAAUUCUUGAUCAUCAACGAGGAAUUCCUAGUAAGCGCAAGUCAGCAGCUUGCGUUGAUUACGUCCCUGCCCUUUGUACACACCGCCCGUCGCUACUACCGAUUGAAUGGUUUAGUGAAAAGUUUGGACUGGGACCUUCUGGUUCAGCAAUGAAUUGGGAGGAGACUGGGAAGCUCUUUUAACUGAAUCAUUUAGAGGAAGUAAAAGUCGUAACA